rnacentral:rRNA from 1 species
UGGAAGUAAAAGUCGUAACAAGGUCUCCGUUGGUGAACCAGCGGAGGGAUCAUUACCGAGUUUACAACUCCCAAACCCAAUGUGAACGUUACCAAACUGUUGCCUCGGCGGGAUCUCUGCCCCGGGUGCGUCGCAGCCCCGGACCAAGGCGCCCGCCGGAGGACCAACCAAAACUCUUUUUGUAUACCCCCUCGCGGGUUUUUUAUAAUCUGAGCCUUCUCGGCGCCUCUCGUAGGCGUUUCGAAAAUGAAUCAAAACUUUCAACAACGGAUCUCUUGGUUCUGGCAUCGAUGAAGAACGCAGCGAAAUGCGAUAAGUAAUGUGAAUUGCAGAAUUCAGUGAAUCAUCGAAUCUUUGAACGCACAUUGCGCCCGCCAGUAUUCUGGCGGGCAUGCCUGUCCGAGCGUCAUUUCAACCCUCGAACCCCUCCGGGGGGUCGGCGUUGGGGAUCGGCCCUCCCUUAGCGGGUGGCCGUCUCCGAAAUACAGUGGCGGUCUCGCCGCAGCCUCUCCUGCGCAGUAGUUUGCACACUCGCAUCGGGAGCGCGGCGCGUCCACAGCCGUUAAACACCCAACUUCUGAAAUGUUGACCUCGGAUCAGGUAGGAAUACCCGCUGAACUUAAGCAUAUCAAUAGCGGAGGA